GCGACAUAUAUUUGCACAUACGAAGCCAAAUGGAUCUGUAGACUAUAUGAUUUGUCUACCAGCACAUGGAGCUGUUAUUGGAGCUUGGUUUGGCGCUUGGCCAAUGCCGCUUGAUUGGGAGAGGCCAUGGCAGGAAUGGCCGAUUUGUGUGAGUUAUGGAGCCAUGGCAGGGUAUCUGAUCGGAAUGGUGGCAUCUUUUGGCUUUGUACUAAUUCGUGGAAGGCAACAGCAUCAAAAAGGAGAUUAGCUGUCAAGUUAUUAUCCAUUACUGGUCGAGUCAAGUAUGUAUUCUUGGAUUUUUCUCAGAAAUAGAGCUGCUUUUGGUUUUCACUCUUAAAGUAUGAUUUGUUUUAGUACAUUCUUGUUGGGUGUUAUAGUUAGUCCAAUGCAAAGAUAAAAAUUGGAAAAUCUGUUUAUUCUUGUUUGUGAUAUGCAAAAUAACCUUUCAUUUACAUGAAGUGCUUCUUGUUUUGCCACACAUGUUCUUAACUAGCAAUUGAAAAUUGAGAAAUUGAGCGAAAGCUUAGAAUCCAGAAUUCCCUUGCAUUGUAAGUUGAAUGUGUAUUAUUUGAGCAGUUAAGAUUUUUCAUUCGUUUGUUUAUUUACACCCAUGUGAGAU